rnacentral:rRNA from 1 species
UACGUAGGGUCCGAGCGUUGUCCGGAAUUAUUGGGCGUAAAGAGCUCGUAGGCGGUUUUGUCGCGUCUGCUGUGAAAUCCCGAGGCUCAACCUCGGGCCUGCAGUGGGUACGGGCAGACUGGGAGUGCGGUAGGGGAGAAUGGAAUUCCUGGUGUAGCGGUGGAAUGCGCAGAUAUCAGGAGGAACACCGAUGGCGAAGGCAGUUCUCUGGGGCCCGUAACUGACGCUGAGGCGCGAAAAGCGUGGGGGAGCAAACAGG